ACUGCUUCUCGAUGUUUCGAUGUUCUUUGCGUGCGGUUUUUGUCUUGCUCCUGUUCGCGUUCGGCAGUUCUCUCUCGUUGUUAUGGGCCCAGGACAGUCAGAGAUGUAAAAAGAGAAAAAAAAUAAAAAUAAAAAUUUCAUCUGAGAGUGCUGUGAUUCAAAAGUGUAAACAUUAAAAAAAAUUAAAAACUAAUAAUAGCGUCGAAUGGUCAGGACGAAGUAAUACAAAUAGAAAAGUUGAAAGACGCAGAAAAUUUUUCCUUAUAAAAAUUUCAAGUAACAAUACUCUUCAAGUCGCUUGGAUUGUACGAGAUCGCGACAGGAUCAUUUGUACUGAUGGAGGACAUCACGGAACAAGCUAAAACAAACUGGAUCAGGAAGGAUGCACGGGCUCAGAAGAUAAUAAUUUCAUCGAUUGAGAGACAAGUUUUAAUGCAUAUAUUAAUAUGUAAAACCUCUUGCAAACUCAAAAAUUAAAUUAGAAGAUCAAGUUCGAGCACAUUGCAAAGGAUGUUUUAAUUAAUCCAUUAACAUUACAAUAUAAAACGCUUUAAAAAUAACUCAAAACGCUUAAAUAACAUUUCAUUUUGUAAUAUUUUCACCCUUACUUGGGUCUUCUUCAGACGUGAAAAACAAAAAAGUCAGAAACAAUGAUCUAAACGUACAAAGUCAAUCAGCCGGUCAUCUUCAGUGAAAAUAUAAAUAGAUUGGUUUACCUUAUGGAUGGUAGUCUAUAAUAAAGAACAGACAGGAUACUCAUAGUCAAUAUCACAAGAGUAAAGCCCACAAACAACUUACUUAGUAACUCGCGGUUAAAUGCUGAUAAACAAGAUGAAAACGAGAAUUAUAUAAUGUUGUCCCCACCAUAGCAAUGCUUUCCAAAGAGCUUACGUGGAAAGCAAAUUGAAAUACGAAGAGUCAAGUAAAUCUAAAUCAUUAACUGAGUUUAAGCCAUUCAAUUGUAAUUUAAUAUGGAUCAUCUCAGAAAUUAAUCUUUUGUAGUAGCGUUUUAUAUUGCAAUGUUAAUGAAUUAAUUAAAACAUCUUUUGCAAUGUGCUCGAAUUUGACCUUCUAAUUUAAUUUUUGUUUUCACAAUACGAGCGUUUGAUUUAUUUUUCACUACUCUUGCGAAAUGUUUAAGCGCAUUUGCGCUAUGUACGAAAGAGAUGCGCAGCAACAAAACUGUGUACUACAAGAAUUCUACAAUUUUACUUAUCAGAAGGGUGCAGACGUCGGCUCGCAUGUAAGUAAGCUAGAAGCACUAGCAUACAGAUUAAAAAUACUGAACGUUGAUAUUGAUAAUACUAUGCUAAUAUCUAAGAUUCUUGCAACAUUGCCUGAAAAAUUUAAACACUUCAUUUGUGCAUAAGAUUCCACAGGUCAAGAACAAAACACGCUUUCUAACCUUACAUCUAGAUUAUUAUCAAAAGAAAUUAGGCUAACAGCUGCAGAUAUCAAACAGAAAGCAGUAGCAUUUAAAACGAGUAAGAGAAAAUGCUAUAAGUGUAACAACCCAGGACACUUUGCGAAAGCAUGUAAAAUGAAGGGAAACAAUCAAGAUUUACGCUGUUUCAACUGUAAUGGACGCGGACAUAUAGCAAAAAAUUGUAAAAAAGAGAACAAUACAGGAUAUCGGAAUAAAGAUGGACUAUGGACAAUUAAUUUUGAUCAAGACUAUGUGAGUAAUGCUCUUUAAACUCAGGAAAUAAAAACAGCAGUAGAGUGGCAUCAAAAACUUGGUCAUUUUGGAAGAGAAAACAUGAAGAGAUUACAAACUAUGUCAGAAGGAAUGACAUUAUCAGAAGAAGAUCUUAAAUGUUUGGAAAAUGUAUGUGAAAUAUGCGUUAGAGCAAAACAAACAAGACUACCCUGUAAUGAAAGAAGAUUGAGAGCCAAAAGACCGCUUGAAAUAGUACAUACUGAUGUAUGUGGACCAGUGGAUCUUUUGACGUGGGAUAACAAAAAAAAUAUAUAUUAACAUUUAUUGAUGAUUACACACACUUUGUUAUGAUCUAUUUACUAGAAGGAAAAUAUGAAAUUCCAUUGAAAGUCAAAGAAGAUGCUAAUUUUGUAGAAACAAAGAAUGGAAUUUAAGAAUCACUAAACUAAGAUGUAACAACGGACGGGAAUAUGUUAAUAAUAAUAUCGAAUCAUGGUGCAAACAAAGAGAUACUUUACUUGAUACAACUACAUCCUACACACCUCAACUUAAUAGCAAGGCUGAACGAUUGAAUAGGACUCUUAUAGAAAAGACAAGAGCUCUUCUUAUGUGAAUGCUGAUGUGGAUAAAAUUUUUUGGGGAAAAGCUGUGCUACUAUUUGUCAAAUAGGAGUCCUUCGAAUGCAGUCCAAAGAACUCCAUAUGAAAAUUGGACUUCACAAAGACCUGAUUUAUCGAGAUUACAUAUAUUUGGCUGUACGGCUUACACCAAAGUCUUAACACCACUUAAAAAAUUGGACGAUAGAUGCAAAAAAUUAACUUUUCUUGGUUAUGCACCUAAUAGAUAUCGGUUAUUUGAUCGAGAAAAACGAAAACUAAUAAUAUCAAGAGAUGUUAUAUUUACAGAAGAAUUAAAAUUAAAUAAUGCAAAAGUAAGUAUAAAGACAACUACUGAAGAAGAAUCAAAUAAAGAACAAGAAGCAAUAGAGCAAGAAGAAAUCAGAAUCAAUAUCGAGAAUGUAUCUGAAAGCGACGAGGACACAAAUCAGUUUCAAGAUGCACUGGAAGGAUCACAUAGUAAAAAGAAAAAAAUAUAGAAAGAUUUUGUAGAAGAAAAGGGAUAAGAAAAUUAUCAAAAAGAUCAUGUAGAAGAAAAUGGACAAGAAAAUCAUGAAGAAGAAAAUAGAAGAGGAAAACGCAUUAAAAGAAUUUCAUGUAAAUACAAAGAUUACGUUUUUUUAACUUACGAGGAAGCUACAACAGGGACAGACAAGGAAAAAUGGAUGAAAGCUAUUAAAGAAGAAAAGAAGUCAGCCAGAAAGCAACCAGAAGAAAAGACUUUAUAAUGAAGUUUGAUAUUAAAACAACCUUUUUAUAUGGAAAUUUAAAUGAAGAAAUUUUUUAUCAUAUGUAUUUGUGCGUAAUAACGUGUUAUCAAAAGUA